GUUAAAAAGCUCGUAGUUGGAUUUCUGGUCGAGUGUCCCUAGGCCGACUUGACGUUUGGUCCUAGGCGCUCUGCCAUCCUUCUGUUAACUCUCGCCUCGUUCGUUCGUGGCGUUAGGGCUCAGAUAUUUUACCUUGAGAAAAUUAGAGUGUUUCAGGCAGGCUUUCGCCGGAAUACAUUAGCAUGGAAUAAUGGAAAAGGACUUCAACCUCUUCUGUUGGUCUGAGAGGAUGUAGUAAUGAUUAAUAGGGAUAGUUGGGGGCAUUAGUACUUAACUGUCAGAGGUGAAAUUCUCCGAUUUGUUAAAGACUAACUUAUGCGAAAGCAUUUGCCAAGGAUGUUUUCAUUAAUCAAGAACGAAAGUUAGGGGAUCAAAGACGAUCAGAUACCGUCCUAGUCUUAACCAUAAAC
rnacentral:rRNA from 1 species